AACGAACGCUGGCGGCAUGCCUAACACAUGCAAGUCGAACGAGACCUUCGGGUCUAGUGGCGCACGGGUGCGUAACGCGUGGGAAUCUGCCCUUAGGUUCGGAAUAACUCCCCGAAAGGGGUGCUAAUACCGGAUAAUGUCUUCGGACCAAAGAUUUAUCGCCUUUGGAUGGGCCCGCGUUGGAUUAGCUAGUUGGUAGGGUAAAAGCCUACCAAGGCGACGAUCCAUAGCUGGUCUGAGAGGAUGAUCAGCCACACUGGGGCUGAGACACGGCCCAGACUCCUACGGGAGGCAGCAGUGGGUAAUAGUGGACAAUGGGCGAAAGCCUGAUCCAGCAAUGCCGCGUGAGUGAUGAAGGCCUUAGGGUUGUAAAGCUCUUUUACCCGGGAUGAUAAUGACAGUACCGGGAGAAUAAGCUCCGGCUAACUCCGUG
rnacentral:rRNA from 1 species